GCUUCGCCCGUGGCCUAUUUUUGGCACACGGAGGCCCCUCGCAAAGUCUCGCGGCAUUCCGAGUCCGGCGGACGAAGUUGGCCAGCCCCACCCCCCAAGGCUAUAGCCCACCCGUUUUUGUGGCCUUUUUCCGCUGGACGAACUUGGCGCCCCGGGCUUCGGGCGGUUAUUUUUGGGCGCGGCUUUGCCGCAGCCUAUUUUUGGCACACAGAGGCCCCUCGCAAAGUCUCGCGGCAUUCCAAGUCCGGCGGACGAAGUAGGCCGGCCCCACUCCCCAAGGCUAUAGCCCACCCGUUUUUGUGGCCUUUUUCCGCUGGACGAACUUGGCGCCCCGGCCGUCGGGCGGUUAUUUUUGGGCGCGGCUUUGUCCGCGGCCUAUUUUUGACACAUGGAGUCCCCUUAAAGUCUCGCGGCAUUCCGAGUCCGGCGGACGAAGUUGGCCAGCCCCACCCCCCAAGGCUAUAGCCCACCCGUUUUUGUGGCCUUUUUCCGCUGGACGAACUUGGCGCCCCAUCCUUCGGGCGGUUAUUUUUGGGCGCGGCUUUGCCCAUGGCCUAUUUUUGGCGCACGGAGGCCCAUCGCAAAGUCUCGCGGCAUUCCGAGUCCGGCGGACGAUAUUGGCCAGCCCCACCCCCCCAGGCUAUAGCCCACCCGUUUUUGUGGCCUUUUUCCGCGGGACGA
rnacentral:lncRNA from 1 species